rnacentral:rRNA from 1 species
CCUCUACAUGUAAGCUAUCGCGUUGGGAUGGGCCCAGUUAGGAUUAGCUAGUUGGUAAGGUAAUGGCUUACCAAGGCGACGAUCCUUAGCUGGUUUGAGAGGAUGAUCAGCCACACUGGGACUGAGACACGGCCCAGACUCCUACGGGAGGCAGCAGUGGGGAAUAUUGCACAAUGGGGGAGACCCUGAUGCAGCCAUGCCGCGUGUGUGAAGAAGGCCUUCGGGUUGUAAAGCACUUUCAGCAGUGAGGAAGGUGGUGUACUUAAUACGUGCAUGGCUUGACGUUAGCUGCAGAAGAAGCACCGGCUAACUCCGUGCCAGCAGCCGCGGUAAUACGGAGGGUGCGAGCGUUAAUCGGAAUUACUGGGCGUAAAGCGCAUGCAGGCGGUUUGUUAAGUCAGAUGUGAAAGCCCGGGGCUCAACCUCGGAACCGCAUUUGAAACUGGCAGGCUAGAGUCUUGUAGAGGGGGGUAGAAUUUCAGGUGUAGCGGUGAAAUGCGUAGAGAUCUGAAGGAAUACCAGUGGCGAAGGCGGCCCCCUGGACAAAGACUGACGCUCAGAUGCGAAAGCGUGGGUAGCAAACAG